CGUCGAACGCCCUGGUGGUACAAAUCGCGCGAUGAAAAGAAAAAACAAGGUGGAAACAGAAAGAAAGUUUCAGAUAUCAACAGAAGUGUUAUAUCUUAAAACAGUUAAUUUUAUGCGAUGUCUUUGGCCCCUUAUUCGGAACACCUUAUUAUCUCCUGCUGCUCUUCAUAAUGUAAAACUAAAAUAAUGUAUGUAAUCAGACUGUAAUAAAAAUUAAUAAAAUUAUAAAAUAAGAAAAAAAAAUAUUUAGGUACGUUCUUUUUAUACAAUGUUCUAAAUGAAGAGGUAUUAUUCGAUUAUGUAUCAGAAUGAUUAAUGUUAUGAAAAGAAACUAUUUGAACAAAAUAACAAGCACUACUCAAAUAUCUAAAUCCUAAUGAAGUAAGUGACGCGUCGAAGGUCAGAAAAUAGAGAAAUAAUUUCUCAAUCGUAAAUUAUUCUGUUAUACAAGAAUUUCGAAUUUCAU